UAAGGAAUAUUGGUCAAUGGACGCAAGUCUGAACCAGCCAUGCCGCGUGAGGGAUGAAGGUCCUCUGGAUUGUAAACUUCUUUUAUCUGGGACGAAAACGGGAUUUUUAUCUCAAUUGACGGUACCAGAGGAAUAAGCACCGGCUAACUCCGUGCCAGCAGCCGCGGUAAUACGGAGGGUGCGAGCGUUAUCCGGAUUUACUGGGUUUAAAGGGUGCGUAGGUGGGCUUAUAAGUCAGUGGUGAAAUCUCCGAGCUUAACUUGGAAACUGCCGUUGAUACUAUAGGUCUUGAAUUAUCUGGAGGUAAGCGGAAUAUGUCAUGUAGCGGUGAAAUGCUUAGAUAUGACAUAGAACACCAAUUGCGAAGGCAGCUUACUACAUAUAAAUUGACGCUGAGGCACGAAAGCGUGGGGAUCAAACA
rnacentral:rRNA from 1 species